CUAGAAUCAUUCAAAUAUCAUCCAAUUCAUUCAAAUACGCACCUUUAUCAUCAAAUACGCACCUUUAUCAUCAAAUCUGCCAAUAUGCCCCGCAACACCCACCGUUCUACUGCCUUGCAAGCUCAUAAAAGGACUCCAACUACCCUGCGCCUUCAUCUGCCCAAACCACCUGUUCCGGAUGUUCCAGAUAAUGACAAGAAUCCAACUGAUGAUGAGAAGGAGGAGGAGGAGGAGGAGGAGGAGGAGACACAGUCAGAAGAUCCUCAAUUUCUGCAAACACCUACCCCUGAGCCCAAGAUCUCAUUCAGGCUGUAUGAACGGGUGAUUAUCAAUGGGAUAAAGGAGCCUAUAAAGAUCAAGUUAUGGAAUGUCACAACAAAUGAUAUGACUGUCAGCUUCUAUCAUAUUCAAUAUACUGCAAAAAGAAUAGCUGAAGAGUAUGUUAUGAAGCAGAACUGCAAGGAGAUAGAAGUUGCAAAUUGUAUAGCAGUCAUCUCAUCAAACAAACAUGGAUCUUCAAUUAAAAUCACCCUUGAGAAGGAGACAGAUUGGAGAGAGAUUAUCACUCUUUUGAAGGAGUUAUAUAAGGAGA
rnacentral:sRNA from 2 species